GUGGGGAAUCUUGGACAAUGGGCGCAAGCCUGAUCCAGCAAUGCCGCGUGGGUGAAGACGGCCUGCGGGUUGUAAAGCCCUUUUGGCGGGGAAGAAAGCGUCGCGGUGAACAGCCGCGGCGGGUGACGUUACCCGCUGAAGAAGCACCGGCCAACUCCGUGCCAGCAGCCGCGGUAAUACGGAGGGUGCGAGCGUUAAUCGGAAUUACUGGGCGUAAAGCGCACGUAGGCGGUCGUUCAAGUCCGUUGUGAAAGCCCCGGGCUCAACCUGGGAAUGGCAAGGGCGACUGAGCGACUGGAGUGUAACAGAGGACCGUGGAAUUCCCGGUGUAGCGGUGAAAUGCGUAGAGAUCGGGAAGAACACCGAUGGCGAAGGCAGCGGUCUGGGUUAACACUGACGCUGAGGUGCGACAGCGUGGGGAGCAAACAGGAUUAGAAACCCCAGUAGUCC
rnacentral:rRNA from 1 species